rnacentral:rRNA from 1 species
UACGUAGGGGUGCAAGCGUUAAUCGGAAUUACUGGGCGUAAAGCGUGCGCAGGCGGUGAUGUAAGACAGUUGUGAAAUCCCCGGCUCAACCUGGGAACUGCAUUUGUGACUGCAUCGCUGGAGUGCGGCAGAGGGGAUGGAAUUCCGCGUGUAGCAGUGAAAUGCGUAGAGAUGUGGAGGAACACCGAUGGCGAAGGCAGCCCCUGGGUCAAGAUUGACGCUCAUGCACGAAAGCGUGGGAGCAACAGG